AUAGUAGUCCCUCCGUCCGGAAUUACUUGUCGCUCAAAUGGAUGUAUCUAGCACAAAAAUACAUCUAGAUACAUCCAUUUGAGUGACAAGUAAUUCCAGACGGAGGAAGUAUGUA
rfam:Triticum aestivum genome assembly, contig: Triticum_aestivum_CS42_TGACv1_scaffold_271584_3DS